GGGCAUUCAGGGUCUUUGCAACAUGCAGCCAUUCCGUUUACCCAGCUCUGUCUCCUGUGGGGCCUUCAACUGUCCCUUUCACUCUCAUUUUGCCCCCUCCCCACUACCUGGCAAUGGCCCCUCCUCCCUGCCUGCUAAGCCUGACCCCCUCCUUCAGGGCCUGGACACCUCCUACCCCGCUGGGGUCCCUGGGUUCCCCUGCUCGCCGUGCCCCAUCCUGUGCCCGGCUCCUGCUGCGGCACAUCUGCUUCCAUGGCAUCACUCUGGCCCCAUUAGCAAUGCUCUGUAAUAACAGUCCGAGCUUAACUGGGGACUCACCACGUGCCACCCACUGCACACUAAGCACUUUAUCCCAUGCACUCAUUUCCUCCCCACCAAAUCGCCCCAAGUGGGUGUUAUUAUUUUUCCUGUGUCAUCAAAUGGGCUACUGUAGCACAGAGAGGUUCAGUGACUUGUCUAAGGUCACACAGCUUCUGAGCUCCCUCAUGGCCUCCAAGACGCAAUAAAGUCCGGGAAGCUCUUUGGCUUUCUGGGGCCCCUGGGUGCGAUGCAGGAACCUACCUCCCACCUCUCUUCUGCUCAGAAUGGAGCCAUUCAUAGUUCCCAGAAGCCACCGCGCCCUCUCACUGCUCCCUCUGCUGGAGUCCAGGGUCUGUGAAGUCUCUCUCACCCUUUCCUACUUCCCAUGGACCUUGCACAACACCCUGUGUGUGUGUGUGUGUGUGUGUGUGUUACUGGGGAUGGUACCUGAGGCCUUCACACUGAGCUGCAUCCCCAGCCCUUUUUAACUUUUAUUUUGAGACUGGAGUCUAGGCUGGCCUCAAACUUUGGAGCUUCCUACCUCAACUUCCUGAAUAGCUGGAAUAACAGGCAUGCACCUCCAUGCCAGGCACCUGUCUGUUCACUUCUAUCAAUUGUCUCUCUACAGUGAUGAUCCAUUCAUUGACCUGUCUUUCAGCCCCACCCGACUGAGAACUUGACAGUCAUAAAAAGGAUUCACAGGGGCCUCACAGUCGGAUCUGUCACACUGGCAGCGUCAGGAAGUGUUUGUGAGUGAAUGAAUGAAUGAAUGACGAAUGAAUUUACAGGCAGGGCGCAGACCUGGCCUCCACCUGUGCACUGCUGGGGCGCUCAGUGUGCAGAGGUCGCGUGGGGGACCCGUGGGUGGCUCCUCCACUCGCGGCGGGCGGGGGCCGGGCCCGGCUGGACGCCCCCACCGCAGUGUCCCAGCCGUCCACCAGAGGGAGUGCCUUGCCCAGCCGGUCAGGGCCCCUCGUGCAGGCUAGCUGAGGCGGGCGAUGCUUCCUCUCAGGGCCUGGCGCUUCCUCCCCCGGCGCAAGGAGCUCGCCCGCCCGCCCACCAGCCACGACCCGCUGCCCUCCACCCUCCACCCUCGGGGUGCCCUGCCGGUCCUGCGCGGGAUGGCGGCGCCCGCCCCUGCCCGUGCACGCCGCUGCCUCGGCCCGAUAGCGCGCCGGGGCGGCCUCCCGGUGGCGCUGGGCGUAGAGCCCGCCACAUUGUCCCCUCCCGGUGUCGUCCCCGCCCGCGCUCCUCGGCCGGGUCUGGACCCUUUGUGCCACCGGGUAUCGCGCCACCCCCUCCCCCGCCGCCGCCGCAGGGUCCGUCCCGCAGAACGUGAGUGCCUGGCAGCGGGCGGGACGACCGUAGUAGGGGAGGCCGGCGCCCCACUCGUGGCCGCCACACGUCCACUCCCAUCCCCCAACCGAGCCCGCGUCGCGGCUUCGACUUCACCGGGCGUCACCGUGACACCCUGCGGGGACUCGUUUCAGGUCAGCCGAAUCCCCACCCCGUGUGCACCUCAGGGUGGGAGGGGGCACUGCUCUGAAGAAGACCCGCGUGGGCUGGGCCCCUGGGAGUUUGCCCGUUCCCGCCCUGGCCUCCCUGCAGGUGCCCCCCGCCUGCGUGGUUCUGACCUGUCCCUUGGUCCUGGCCGGAGGCCCUAAUGGUCCCAGGCCACCUGGGGCCCAGCCACCUCUCUGAUCCCUGCUAGAAGCCUGGGACUGAACCUGUCAACGUUGGUCUUAGGAGACACCAGGCCUAAACCAAGAGACUUCUGACCCUGGGGUGAGGAAACCAGGCAGGGCGUCCAUCCUCAGUGGAGGUGACAGUGGGCUUUCCUAGCAUGGCACCCUGCUCCCGGGUUUUCCCAGGUCCCUCCGCGGCCGGGUGUUAGGAAGGGGUGUGUCCGGCUGCCAGAUCAGGUGGAGCUAACUGGGAGCUCCCUUCCCCGCCUGCUGUAUAGACCAGGGAACUGAGAGGCCCACAGGGGCUGUCCCACUCCAGGCAGCUGGUGGAGGGAAGCUGAUAGUUUCCACCCAAGUCUGCAGAGCGGCCUGUGGCUGCCCCCUGCCUCUUUGCUAAACAACUUCAACCAGCAACUUGUUUCCUCAGAUGAUCUCCCCGUUUGGGAUGAGUGUGACCCAACACGGCACAGGAAAAAGAAAAUGGUGCAAGUAACGUAGGAUUUGCUUUAACCUACUUAGAAAACUCCAGCAGUUUUUAUCAACCACAAUGACAACUCUACAAAGGCACUGGAGGACUUGUCACUGAAGCACAGUAUGAGAAGGACUUGGCAGCAGCUGGCGUACUGAGGAAGACCACAUCCUUGCCGUGCAGCUCAGUUCCAGCACACUGGGGACACUGCAGGGCCAUCUCCAGAAAUGCAAGACAGGAGAAAAACUGCAACCUCAGUGCUGCAACCUGCACCGGCAGCUCUUCCUGAACAGCCAAGGCUCCUUCCUUCCAGGAUGCCAAUGUCAUCUUGUAAACGUCAAAGCCUCUGAGCUGACCCUGGGGAGCACACCCCUGCCAGAGACCCACGACUCUGAUGGCUGAUGGGGAACAAUGCACAGCACCUCUGGAGCAGGCCUUGUGGAAAUGCAUGGGCCUGCUUCUGUCUGGUGGGGUCAGAUGAUUGUUAGGUCCUGUGUCCUCUGCUACAUCAAGCUAUGAAUGCCUCUUCCACCUGUUCCCACUACUCUGAUCCACCCAGGUGAGUCCUCAUCAUCAAGAGUGCAAACCUAUCAAUGGUGUAAACACUGUGCUGUUCUGGAACGGGUCAAUUCCAUGGUUAAGUUUUCGGUACAUUCGUCACCGUCCCAUUGUUCCAGGCCCCACAGAGGAGAGCCUACCUCACUCAUAGGUCAUGUGGAACAAUGCCUCUAGGAGCUGUGCAGUCCCCUGCAUUACUGUCAGCACUGCACAGUGCAAGGGAUGGCAGCGUGUUUCACCACUAGGAAGACAAGGACAGAGACCUAUCCUGCACCACCAAGGCCUGUGUCUGUUAAUACAACAUGUGAAUGUGUCAAAACACACCAUCCUGUGGGCUGAGUAUUUCCACCUGCCUGUGUCUACUUCUGUUUGGGGUGAAGGCAACAAAGAGCAUCAACGGAAGCAUGGAAUCUCUUCUCCCACGGCUCUCUGAAAUGUCAGUUGCUGAUGUCCCAGCUGUCAAGAUGCUCAAGGCUACAGACUGACCUUGCAAGUCAACAACUGAUUAAAACUGUCAUUUUUAUGGCUUGCUUCAGACAUGCAAUAUUAUCAGAACUAAUUAGGGGGCCUUGACUGCAGUGUGUGAAAGCUGAAUGAAUGUUCAUGAGUCCUAAGUCAUUAACAGCCCCAAACCUGUCAGACAAGUCACACAGCUGCCCAACUUCAUGCACGCUCUUCAACUGUGAAGUCAAGCAAAGGAGAGCUGUGCUUUCACUGUUUCUGCAUUCCUGCUCUUUAUCACACUCUUUCUGCUGGGUUUGAGUGGUCCGAGCAAUGAGGCUUGGCCUCCUACUUACUCACAGGACAACCCUGCUUCCUGGGCCUGGGUGCAGGCAGCUGCCCUGCUCUCAGGCUCCCUGGGACCAGGCAGAGCUGUUUCUGCUAACUUACCCUCCAGCCUAACUUAAGGCUACACACUCAGAGUCUCAGAGAGAUAGAGCUCACUGCUCUCUGGCUGGCUGGAGGCCAUGGGGGGAAACUGAGGCCCUUCCACCUCCUUCCCAGCAUGGGGCAGGGGAAAGGCACUGGGUUGCUAACAAACUGGAAUAUUCUUGGAACCCAGGAAAGUCAUGGCCCAGAGCCUUUGCUGCUCAGCUUGGCAGUAGCAGGGUCUAGGACUCUGCUUUUCUAGAAGAACAGGCAGGUCCCACACAACUCUCCUUUGGACACUCACAUACCAAGUCCAACUAUGGGGAUGGCUUAUCAGAAAGAGGCACAGGAAGUAAACUAAACUCCAGAGGAAGGGAACCAAAAACAUCAUGUGUAAGUGCAAACAAUAGCUCUGCCAGAGCCUGAACUGGGGCAAAGCCUACAAAGCCUAAUGAUGUUUGGGUUGGAAGGCAGCUCUUUAUUGUUCAGGCUUCUCAGCAGUGAAGGCCAUUGGUAAGGUUUCCCUGGAGAGUCAUAUGUACUUUACACAGCUGCUGGGAGAACAGGGAGAUAUAAUUGUAACCAGUCUGUGACACACAGUGCUCUCCUCAGGACUGGGUUAACCGAGGGCACUGGGGACACAGCUUGAGCAUGCAAGUGUGACCAGGAGGAUGCCUCCUUCCCACACGGUUCAUCCCAUAGGACUCAACUGCUGCAGCCGGCCCUGGUCACGUCACUGCUGCACUGCUGGUCCUGGCACAUGCCACAUGCAUCCUCUGUGCCACUCCCCACCCAAGACACCCUGCAGUCCAUGUCCAAGCUGUCCCUCUGCUCCACAUCCACCCAGCCUUGCUGCUUGGUAACAAGACCCUCACAACGUGACCUCUCGAGCUCACACAAAAAACACACAGGUGUGCUCUGCAGUGGGAAGAAGCAUGUGUCUCAGGGCUCAUCCAGAAGAGGCACAGAAUUCCUCUGGAUCAGUGGCUCCUGACUGCAUUCUGUGGCAGCCACCAAGUAGGUGCAGAUGUCACAGUAGUUCCUCUGGGUACAAACCCCUCUCAGACCAGCCAUGCCAUGCACAGACAGCCCCUGCAGAUUUCAAUUAAAGCUGCCACAAAAUGCUACUUGCUGUCCAGUGCCUCUCUGAAAGGAGGAUCUCUUACCAGGAGCCUAAGUGCAACCCCCACAUGCUCCACGCUGGCCCUGAGGCCUCCCGUGACCUGGCUCAGUCUACUGUGUCUUCACCUGCAUGCCUGUGAUCACAGACCCCAGUCACCUUGGCUGCUUUCCAGUGCCUAAACACACCUAGAGCUCCUGGCUCCCUCUCCUGUCCUAUGCCAGCCCUGCAUUGGGCUGGCUCCCAUCCUCAGUUUCCCCAUGCUUUCUCUCCCCUUCAUUAAUUUCACACAUGUGUAAGUGAUGAUGUUCUAAUUUCUGGCCUCUGUGCCUUGACGGACUACAAGCUCAUGCAAGCAUUGACAGUGUCCUCCUUAAUCUCCACUGUGUCUGUGCAGUUAGCACAAUGCUUGGGGAUGGUGCCUGCAUCAGAGGCCACGGCCACUAAGCAUGUGUUGAACCAAUGGGUGAGUGGGAAGGAAUCCUGCAUGGCAGAUUUGGGGUCAGCCUUGCAGAAUGGUUAAGGGCCCAGCUGUCACCCAAGUCACCUGUAGGAAAAGUGUCUCUGGCUUAUGCCCACCCUUCCAUCUCCAGCUACAACAAUCACCAACCCCAUCCACACUUGGACCUCACUCCUCCAGGCCAAAGCUGCAGAGAACAAGCUUCUGACUCCAGGGUAAAGAAUCUAUAAGAGGGCUGGGGAUUUAGCUCAGUGUGUAUCUGUGUCGCUGCCUGACUCUCAAGUGCAAGGUCCUGAGUUUGAUCCCUGGUAGAAAACAAAAAUAAUAAUAAUCUGUAAGAGCUGGGUGUGGUGGCACCCAGCACUCAGGAGAGAGGCUGAGAUAGGAGGAUUGCCACAAGUUCAAGCCCAGCCUGGGUGACACAGUGAGUUCAGAGCCAGCCUGAUAUACAAAGCAAGACCCUGUCUCAAAAAAAAACAAUAACCCUCACUUAUCACAAAGAAGAAAUUAUCUUUACAGUGAAGAAAACCUGGGGAUCCCCUCAGCAAGGAAUCACGGCACAAACAGAUCCACAGUGGCCCUUGCAUGACUGAUGGUUCAACAGACAUGCAGCCCCACCUAAAUCCUAGAGACUAUAGUUGGUAUGGGUCAAAUCAGAGAAAACAACUCUAAGGGACUUUCUGCAAAUGAAUGGCCCAACUUCAAUGACAGUGUCACAAAGCACAACACACACUGCAGGCACAGUCUAGAUCAAGGAAAGACAAGGUGCACAGCAACUAUAACACACAAUGGGUGGGAAGAAUGCAGCCACCAAGGUCACAGAGGGCCACCUGCAGUGUUGCACAUGAGCAUACAUUGCAUAGUAUUUUGUAUUUAAUUCUUUUGUUUUUGGUACCAGGGAUCGAACUUGGGACCUUGCACUUGCAAAGCAGGCAGUGGAACCACUGAGCUAAAUCCCCGGCCCUGAAUUUAAUUCUUAAUACAAUCUUUGGGGGAGGGUUGAAGAUUGACCCAUAGCAUCAAGCUACAGCCCAGUUAUCUUUUUCUCUUUUUUUUGAGACAGGAUCUCAAACUUGAAAUCCUCCUGCCUCAGCCUUCCAGAAUGCAGAGACUGCAGGUGUGCACUACAAGGCCCAGCUGAGAGUAAACUUAUACUAUAGUGUGGCUGUGCAGAGAAAUACACAUCCUACUGAAUACGUGAGGAGAAUUUAGGGGUGAAAUAGAAAGAUGAGUGAAACUAAAUCCCAAAUGGCUCUGAAAUGUAUGUUGUAGGUGCCAGUGUAUCUGAAGUAAAUGUGCCAAAUACUAAGGAUAUAUAGAUGUUUAUCACACUAGUCUAGCAACUUUUUCUUUUCUUUCUUUUGGUUUUCUGAUACAAGGUCUUGCUGUGUAGUUCAGGCUGGCCUAACUCUCGUCGAUCCUUCUGCCUCAGUCUCCCUCAUGCGGGGAUUACAGGUGAGCACCGCCACACCCAGCUUGCAACUUUUGUUAAAAAAAUUGGGACAGGGUUUCACUAUGUAGCCCAGGCUCUCCUCAGACUCACAGCAAUCAUUGUACCUCAGCCUUCUAAGUGCUGGGACCACAGGUGUGACCACCACUCCCAGCUCUAAAAUUUUUUUAUACAAAAAGUUAGGAAGGAGAGUUAAGUGCUUCCAAAUAUGACUGACAAAUGUUCACAGAGUAACAAGACAUCAAGCCAGUGGUACACCAGGGAGUAGAAGGAGAGAGAGAACAGAGAUUAUGACAACAGAUGCUGUUUCCAGUCUCACAAUGUGCUGGAAACCAUCCAUGUAUGCGAAAGCAUCCGAGGGAAUAAGAGUCAUCCUGAAUGGUGCCAUCCUGAGCACAGCGCAAGGCAUGGGCUUCAAGCUGGGAGCUGCAGGCAGGAGGAAGUGUCCAGUUCUCAAAACAAAUGAUGCCUUCAAAGACAGGCAAGGUUGCAGACCUUGGGGGUGUAAGGAAGAACCAUGGCCAAAUUCAAAAACAGAACGUGUGUCACAUUUGCAGAUGAAAACAGGGAGCCAGGGGCUGGUGUGAAGGCUGAGAUUAGACUAGUGAGCAGCACUGGACUUUAGAAGACUUUAAAACCCAAGCUGUAGCUAGAGACAGUGGCACACACCUUUAAUCCCAGCACUCUGGGAGGCUGAGGCAGAACUGCAAAUUCAAGCCCAACUUGGGCAACUCAGUGACUUGGCAAGACUUUGUCUCAAAAAAUAGAAAGGAGGGCUGGGGAUUUAGCUCAGUGGUUUCACCGCCUGCUGCAAAAGCACAAGGACCUCAGUUCAAGCCCUGGUACCAAAACAAGAUAAAACAAAAUAGAAAGGAGGCCAGGCGUGGUGAUGCAUGCCUGCCUGUAAUCCCAGCACUUGAGAGGCUGAGGAAGGAGGAUUGCUGUGAGUUCAAAACCAGCCUCUGCUACAUAGCGAGACCCUGUCUCAAAAAGAAAGGAGAUGGAAUACAGCUCAGUGCUAAGGCCCUGGCUUCAAUCCCCAAUAGCCACCACCCCAUCCCACCCCAACCCGCCAAAAUAUAGCCAAGUUGUUUGUUGUUGUUGUUGCUGUUUUGGGGGUUUUGUUGGUUUUUUGGAGUACUGGGGAUUGAACUCAGGACCUUGCACUUGCGAGGCAGGCACGGUGCCACUGAGCUAAAUCCCGGGCCCAAGCCAAGUUGUUUUAUGCAAAUUGUUUUAUGCAGAAAGAAGUGGCUGAUUUAAGGGACUUGGGAACCUAUGAAGUAUCACAAGAAACUAGAAGGUCAGGAAAUUUCAAGGGUAAUCUUGAAAGCAGGAGACACUCUGGACCAGAAUAAACACCACUGAGGAUAAAGGAAAGCCUUCUGUCGGGAUUGCUACAAGAGUCCACACUGUCCAUUAGUAUUAAGAAGAAUGCCUUCCUGCAUCUGCUCCAGGCUUGAAUAUCUGAGAAGGAAGUGGGAUAGGUGGCUGCAAAGUUUCAUGCUGAUCACUUAAAGAAUGGUGACUGCAAGGAAGAAAUGGGGACCCCAGGAGCUAGCAUACUAGCAGGAAUGCACAACUCCACUCUGGACGUAGGAAGACAGUGGAGUGAGUCUAUGAAAUCACUCUAGCUAGCUCCUCUGGCACUGAGAUGGCAAACGGGUGUAUCUUAGCAAAGCAGGCACAUGAGCAGAGACCAGUGCAGUUCCCAAAUGAGCAACUAGUAGCUUCAUCAAAAACAGGUCAAACCAGGCGUGGUGGCCGAUCCCUAUAAUCCCAGCCUGUAAUCCCAGCACUGUAAUCCCAGCACUUCGGAGGCUGAGGCAGGAGGUUUGCUACAAGUUCAAGGCCAGCCUCGAGUACAUAGUGACUUCAAGGUCAGCCUGAACUACAUAGCCAGACCCUGUCCAAAAAAAAAGAAAGAAAAAAAGAAAAGAAAAACUGAGGUCAGCAGGCUAUAAGGUACAAGAUUCUAGAUCAGUGGUGACAAACCUAUGGCAUGUGUGCCACAGUGGGCACACAGAGCCCUUUGUGAUGUCAUGACACGUUGUACGAGCUGUUUUUCUAAACUUCAGUAUUCAGGCUUAACUGCAGUGUUGGUAUUCUGGUAUAAAUAAGUGGGUUCUGGGUUGCAGUUUGGGCACUCGGUCUCUAAAAGGUUUACCAUCACUGUUGUAGGUCCUCCAUAGUUGGAGGUUAAACUCUUAAGGUCUGGCAACAAGUCGCUGUGAGGACUUCUCGAGCAGAAUGCUUACAGGAAGCAUAAGGUUCCUUCCUGGAGAAAGAGUCCAGCCAAGACACCUGUCUUAACAGUACCGGCUGAUCUAAAGCCCAGGUACAUUGCCAACCACCACAACUGAGCCCGUCAGGCCUCUCAUAACCAUCUGCCUGAUUGCACGGGCCCAGACACUCCAAAGAUUUCCAAAGCCAAAUGGACGAUUAUUUCAUGCACUCUCCAGGUUCCCCAAACUAAUCAGGUGGCUGUCAGUCUGCCUGCAGAGACACAAUUUCCAAGGCCAGGCUCAUUAAAGAAGUUGAGACACAGCACAGCCCCCACGUCCUGGUCCAGAACACCUCCUAGACUCACCUGGACUUCUUAAAACAGUCCCUUGUAAUGCCCUCCUUGUAGCACCUGCUCUACCCUGGGAGCAGAGGCCAGGUGACUGAGCUGGGAUUGGGGUGUGUGGGGACAUCACAGUAGGAAUCCUGUGGGUUGGGCCUACAACCCAAGGUGGCAAGGAGAUGACAACUGGCACCACUGCAGCUGACAUCUGACACUCAGCAAGGAGUCUUUUCAAGAGCACCACAGCUGCUGAGGGAGGCCUCCUUGCCUGUGGACUGAAAUGCUUCAGUGGUCACUUCAUUUUGUUUUUUCUUCCUUUUUUUGAGAUGGGGUCUUGAACUCAUGAUCCUCCUACCUCAGGCUCCUGACUAGCUGGCAUUACAGGCAUGCACCACUAGGCCUGGCUGCCAGUAGCCACUUCCAAAUUGCUUUCUUCCUGAAUUGCCUCUGAACACACACACAUGCAACUCAAGUGCACACAAGCAGAAUAGUUUCCUAAAUAGUAGGGUUAAGAAAAAACCCCACCUACACUGGGUGUAGUGGUGCACGACUAUAAUCCCAGCACUUGGGAACCUGAGGCGCCAGGAUAACUGCAAGUUCGAGGCCAGCCUGGGCUACAUGGUGAGUUCAAGGCCAGCCUGAACUACACAGACUGUCUAAAAAAAAGAAAACUCACCUAAGAAGCAUUAGAAAGUUUCUGAGGGACCCUAGGUGACAAGAAGCAGAAGAAAGUGUCCAGGACUCAGAAGCAGAAUAGAAUCCCAGCUGGGGAGGACAACUGCCAGCCUGCAAAGGUGACUCAGACUUCUCCUGAGAGCAGGAGCUGUCCCUGCUGAGGCUCAAAUACUUCACUGGGCAAAGACAGAAGAGUAAAGCUAUGAAGCAACAGGAACUACCACAUGUGGCUUCACCAGCUGCUCCCCUUGAGAGAGGCAGUGGAGGCUGGACAGGAGUACUGCACUCAGACCGAGCCUGGAGCCUUCAAGAGCCAGUGAUCAAGAGGCCCAGCUCAGGUCUGUCUGCUCCCAGGUGCCAGGAGACAGCAUGGAGUCACCCUCAGAAUGAGUCAUCCUCUGCACAGUGGGUGGGACAGCUGCACCAAAGCCUCCCAUCUGCACCUCUCUGUACUGUACUUGAGGACAGGAGGCCAUCAGAGUGGGACACAAAUGGAGGUUCAUAGUCUACCUGAGAGGAAGCACUCAUAACCAGAGAAGAGUUUACCAAAGGCCACAAACACAGAACUCAAGUGACUCUGAAGUCACAAGUUUAAGGUUUCGUGCAGCUGGCUGUGGUGGUGCACACCUGUAAUCACAACACUCUGGGAGGCUGAGGCAGGAGGAUCCAAAGCUUGAGCCCUGCCUGGGCAACUUAAUAAGACCUUCUCUCAAAAUAUAUAUUUUUUAAAAAUUAUAUAUAUAUGGGCUGGGGAUAUAGUUCAGAGUAAAGUCUCUAGGUUCAAUCCUCAGUACAGGGCACAAAAGUUUAGUGAACACCGAGGUCCAGCAAAAGGAAGAUAACACAACAGACCCAACAAUCCCUCCUCGAAGAAAUGCCAUGAAGACUAAGUGAGAGGAGCACAUAAAGGGCUCAGAAUGGUGCUUCAGUGCUGGCUGAUAGCUGCUGCUGCUGCUCCUGCUGGUGAAGAACCAGGGCCCCACCCACCUCUCGAUGCUACCUCUCCUCUGGUUUGAGCAUCUGAAAGCUUGGCUGCCCCAUUCUCCAAGGCCUCUGCAAUGAGGACCAGGGCUCCCAGAGGUUGAGUAUCUAGUAUCUAGGACAUAGUGGGUAUGCUGUAAAUGUUGAUGCUUUCAAACAGACUUACAGGGGCAGCUUCACAAUUCAUCCUUACAGUCACGUAUUUAGUAACAAUUACAAGCUGGGCCCUGUGCUCGCUGCUGUUCGAUGGUCUCAUCUACCCCAGUUUUUUUUUUGUUGUUUUUUUUUUGGUACCAGGGAUGGAACUUGGGUCCUUGAGCUUUCGAGGCAGGCGGCAGAACCACUUAGCUAAAUCCCCGGCCCUCAUCUACCCCACUUUACAGGGAAGGAGGCAGGCUCAGCAGCCUUCCUGUGGCCUCCUAACUCAAGUCCCAGACUCUGCAGAGCCCUCUUUGCUGAAAGCUUUUCGCCUCUCUAUCCCAGUGCACCAAUUCUAUUAUGCAUCUGUUUCUUCUGGGCUCAGCCACAAAACACUGCAGUAGAGAAGAAAAAAAAAAUCACCAAACACUGCCACCUUGGUCCUUUAGAAACCUACACACUGGCUGGGCAUGGUGACACACGCUUGUAAUCCCAGCAGAUGGGAGGCUGAAGCAGGAGGAAAUCCAAGUUCAAGGCCAACCUGGACUAUAUAGCAAGACCCUGUUUCCAAAACACAAAAACAAAACCACACACUAAUUACAGCCAGAAUCUCACUGCCAUUCUUCCUGCCACAUAAGCUUGCCUCCUCAGAAUCUUCUUGCUCAUACAACCACUAUCUACCCAUUUCCAAUCAGCCUGCUGAGUUCUCAUCACUUCUCACAUCUGUACCCCUUCCCAGUCAGCCAUUCAAACCCAUGUGUCAGUCAUGGCACCUAUGUGGGGACUCCCCUCUUCUACCCUGAAUCCUAGCAUGAGACCAGUCUUCCUAAGAUGGGGUCAGAUAAUGUUCCCACCCAACCCCUUCAGGUGUUCCCCACACCUGGAGGACAAGGAUGGCACUGGCACAGGAUGCCCCCCACACAAAUUCUGCCCUUGGCCAAUCCCACUAAUGACCAACCUCCCACAAAUCUACACAGCAAUACCCUCCUCUUCCCCUCCAGCAGUGAAACCUGCCCAUGCCCCAAGGCAUCUGUCCUGCUCUAGCCUCUCCACACCUGGGCACUCAGUGGCUGGACUGCAGGUAUUUAGGCCAUCUUUCCAUCACCUAUUACAUUUAAUGACAGGCCGGCGAGGAUGGCCUCACACUGACUUCCACAUAAUAAACACAGUGUGCUAAGUAUUCCUUCUACAAUACCACAACAGUGGGGCAGAUUCUGCCCUGAAGCAUUACCACUCUCUCAAGCUGGGUUCUUUGGGGACCUCUCACCACUGAACACACAACACUCACACACGCUGAGCCCUUUAUAUUUAAAACACACUUACGUGCCUGUGUCUCACAUAUACAUUCUGUCUACUUCCAAGAAUUUCUAAAUACAGGUCUGGAUGGGAAGAAAUCCUGGUCAAUUCAGGGGGUGACUGCUGGGCACCUAAUUUUACAGGGCAGGCCCCAGCUAGAGGAAUGUCUGGAGACAGCAUCCCUGACAAAGGACCUAAAGGGCUUUCUGAGAAAAAAAGAUACAGGUUGAACAAAGAGCUAAAUUUAGUUUCUUCCUGAAUGUGUUUUCCCAAUCAACAGACCCAUCAGAACACAGUCCCCCAUCCCCUGUGCUCCCCCCGCCCCCUGCUGCCACAGCUGACAGAGUAUGGCCAAGGACAGCUCAAGCAAUUAUUGGACAGACUUCAGACACUGCCGAUACCCGCAGCAUGGAGUCAAUAUGAUGACCCACCUUUACAGCAGACUGUGUGUGCCUGUCUCCUUCCCUGGAGCCCUGGGACACGGGUGGGGGUUGAAGGGGGACUGGAGGG
rnacentral:lncRNA from 1 species